rnacentral:tRNA from 1 species
GCAAGUAUAGUUUCAACCAAGACAUUAGACUGUGAUUCUAAAGACAGAAGCUAAAACCUUCUUACUUGCC